CAGUCGCCACGGAAUACGUAGGUCCCGAGCGUUGUCCGGAUUUAUUGGGCGUAAAGGGCACGCAGGCGGUGACUUAAGUGAGGUGUGAAAGCCCCGGGCUUAACCUGGGAAUUGCAUUUCAUACUGGGUCGCUAGAGUACUUUAGGGAGGGGUAGAAUUCCACGUGUAGCGGUGAAAUGCGUAGAGAUGUGGAGGAAUACCGAAGGCGAAGGCAGCCCCUUGGGAAUGUACUGACGCUCAUGUGCGAAAGCGUGGGGAGCAAACAGGAUUAGAUACCCGCGUAGUCCCUGUCUCUUAUACC
rnacentral:rRNA from 1 species